AUUGAACGCUGGCGGCAGGCUUAACACAUGCAAGUCGAGCGGGAACUUCGGUCCUAGCGGCGAACGGGUGAGGAAUGCUUGGGAAUCUGCCUUGUAGUGGGGGAUAACGUUUCGAAAGGAACGCUAAUACCGCAUACGUCCUACGGGAGAAAGGGGGGGAUCUUCGGACCUCUCGCUAUAAGAUGAGCCCAAGUCGGAUUAGCUAGUUGGUGGGGUAAAGGCUCACCAAGGCGACGAUCCGUAGCUGGUCUGAGAGGAUGAUCAGCCACACUGGAGCUGAGACACGGUCCAGACUCCUACGGGAGGCAGCAGUGGGGAAUAUUGGACAAUGGGCGAAAGCCUGAUCCAGCCAUGCCGCGUGUGUGAAGAAGGCCUUCGGGUUGUAAAGCACUUUAAGCGAGGAGGAAUGGCUCUGGGUUAAUACCCUUGAGCAGUGACGUUACUCGCAGAAUAAGCACCGGCUAACUCUGUGCCAGCCGCCGCCGUAA
rnacentral:rRNA from 1 species